AGGGUUCGAUUCUGGCUCAGGACGAACGCUGGCGGCGUGCUUAACACAUGCAAGUCGAGCGAUGAAGCUUCUCGGAAGUGGAUUAGCGGCGGACGGGUGAGUAACACGUGGGUAACCUGCCUCAUAGAGGGGAAUAGCCUUCCGAAAGGAAGAUUAAUACCGCAUAAGAUUGUAAUAUCGCAUGAUAUAGCAAUUAAAGGAGUAAUCCGCUAUGAGAUGGACCCGCGUCGCAUUAGCUAGUUGGUGAGGUAACGGCUCACCAAGGCGACGAUGCGUAGCCGACCUGAGAGGGUGAUCGGCCACAUUGGGACUGAGACACGGCCCAGACUCCUACGGGAGGCAGCAGGUGGGGAAUAUUGCACAAUGGGGGAAACCCUGAUGCAGCAAACCGCCGCGUGAGUGAUGACGGUCUUCGGAUUGUAAAGCUCUGUCUUCAGGGACGAUAAUGACGGUACCUGAGGAGGAAGCCACGGCUAACUACGUGCCAGCAGCAGC
rnacentral:rRNA from 1 species